UUUUAUUUAAAGUGACUUAAAAGUUGGGAAUGUAUUUGCAAGGUCAAAUCGAAAACAGUAAGAGAGGAACAAAGAAAAGAAAAAAGAAAAAGGAAAAGCAGGGAGAGAGAUAAUAAAGAGAUGAAGAGAGGGAAAGUGUACUGGUUAGGGGUGAGUCAAGAUAAAUUGAUAGAAGGAAUGGGGAGGUGAGGGUGAUAGAGAGAGAAAGAUAUGAGAGUAGUGUAAAGAGUAAAGGAGUGUCAGGUAUGUAGUGAUAGAGCCUAAGUGAGUGGCAGAGAAAGUGGGGUAGGGGUAGUAAAAUGGUGGAAUGAAGAAUUUGGGAAUAUAGGUUAGGUUGGUUAGAGGACAGGUCAGUGCUUAGUAG